rnacentral:tRNA from 1 species
GAUCGGUAGUUCAGUUGGUUAGAAUGCCGCCCUGUCACGGCGGAGGUCGCGGGUUCGAGUCCCGUCCGGUCCG